AAGACUAUAGACCUGCGGAGUACCUGCGGAGGGAUCAUUAAAGAAAUAAACUUGAUGGAUUGCUGCUGGCUCGUUAUUUCGAGUAUUGUGCACAUCUGUCAUUUUUAUCUUUCCACCAUGUGCACUCUGCAUAGGUCUGAUGACUCUUGAACAUCUGUUUGAGAUUUUUUACAUGUGGGUAUUGCGAGUUUCACGACUUGCUCUUGCCCUACAAUCAGGCCUAUGUUUUUUUUCUAAUAU
rnacentral:misc_RNA from 1 species